CUCGACCGUUGCUGCUACCUUGAUGUGGUGGUCGGACUUGCCUAUCGUGAUGAACCAAUCGAGCUAUACUAGCUCGAGGUCCUACCAUGCCAGGCAGGUCGGUCGAAGAGCGGUAAGACUAAAAGCAGC
rnacentral:ribozyme from 1 species